UGUUUUUUUAUGUAUGUCAGAGACCUGGGGUCCGUUCCACAAAGCAGGUUUAGUGAAAACUCUGAGUCUGUUCAGCCUGAAAUCAGGGAAACUGAGUUCUCCGUUUCACAAAAGGAGGUAACUCAACCCAGAGACAGAGGGGGAACUCUAGCCUGUUUCACAGACAGAGGGAACUUAAGCUCUCGGUCAGUUACCGUAGUAACAGACUCCCCUGCUUGGGACCAGGUUUUUCUCAAUGAACCCUGAGUUUCUCUCUGACUCCGCCCACUUUCAGCCACACACAGGAUUUGAUUUCCUCAUUCACUCAGUCAGCAGGAGAGUUUUAGCCAUAGUUCUGUCGUCUGUU